rnacentral:rRNA from 1 species
GACGAACGCUGGCGGCGUGCCUAAUACAUGCAAGUAGAACGCUGAAGGAGGAGCUUGCUUCUCUGGAUGAGUUGCGAACGGGUGAGUAACGCGUAGGUAACCUGCCUGGUAGCGGGGGAUAACUAUUGGAAACGAUAGCUAAUACCGCAUAAGAGUAGAUGUUGCAUGACAUUUGCUUAAAAGGUGCAAUUGCAUCACUACCAGAUGGACCUGCGUUGUAUUAGCUAGUUGGUGGGGUAACGGCUCACCAAGGCGACGAUACAUAGCCGACCUGAGAGGGGGAUCGGCCACACUGGGACUGAGACACGGCCCAGACUCCUACGGGAGGCAGCAGUAGGGAAUCUUCGGCAAUGGACGGAAGUCUGACCGAGCAACGCCGCGUGAGUGAAGAAGGUUUUCGGAUCGUAAAGCUCGGUUGUAAGAGAAGAACGAGUGUGAGAGUGGAAAGUUCACACUGUGACGGUAGCUUACCAGAAAGGGACGGCUAACUACGUG